rnacentral:rRNA from 1 species
CCUACGGGACGCAGCAGUCGGGAAUAUUGCGCAAUGGAGGAAACUCUGACGCAGUGACGCCGCGUAUAGGAAGAAGGUUUUCGGAUUGUAAACUAUUGUCGUGAGGGAAGAAGAUGACAGUACCUCAGGAGGAAGCUCCGGCUAACUAUGUGCCAGCAGCCGCGGUAAUACGUAGGGGGCGAGCGUUAUCCGGAUUUACUGGGUGUAAAGGGAGCGUAGACGGCUGGUCAAGUCUGAAGUGAAAGCCCGGGGCUUAACCCCGGAACGGCUUUGGAAACUGAGCAGCUAGAGUGCUGGAGAGGUAG